ACGGCUACAUCAUGAUAAAACAUCGGUUUCCGUACGAUCACUGUAGUUAAGCAACGUCGUGCCAGGUCAGUAGUUAGAUGGGUAACCGCUUGGGAAUACUAUGUAC